UACGAAGGGGGCUAGCGUUGCUCGGAAUCACUGGGCGUAAAGGGUGCGUAGGCGGGUCUUUAAGUCAGGGGUGAAAUCCUGGAGCUCAACUCCAGAACUGCCUUUGAUACUGAAGAGCUUGAGUACUGGAGAGGUGAGUGGAAUUCCUGGUGUAGUGGUGAAAUACGUAGAUAUCAGGAGGAACACCGGUGGCGAAGGCGGCUCACUGGCCAUGUACUGACACUGAAACACGAAAGCGUGGGGAUCAAACAGG
rnacentral:rRNA from 1 species